GCAGUGAUGGUUCAGUGGUAGAAUUCUUGCCUUCCAAGUGGGCACCUGGGUUCGAUUCCUGGCCAAUGCA
rnacentral:tRNA from 1 species